AGCCAUGUGGUAAGCACAGAGCGAACUAUUCUUUCGCCUUUUACUAAAGAAUACCGUGUGCUUGCCACAAUCAAUGGCAUACGCUUAUUUUUGGAGGGGUUUUUUCAACUGAGGAAGC
rnacentral:snRNA from 1 species